rnacentral:rRNA from 1 species
GAUGAACGCUGGCGGCGUGCCUAAUACAUGCAAGUCGAGCGAACGGACGAGAAGCUUGCUUCUCUGAUGUUAGCGGCGGACGGGUGAGUAACACGUGGAUAACCUACCUAUAAGACUGGGAUAACUUCGGGAAACCGGAGCUAAUACCGGAUAAUAUUUUGAACCGCAUGGUUCAAAAGUGAAGGACGGUCUUGCUGUCACUUAUAGAUGGAUCCGCGCUGCAUUAGCUAGUUGGUAAGGUAACGGCUUACCAAGGCAACGAUGCAUAGCCGACCUGAGAGGGUGAUCGGCCACACUGGAACUGAGACACGGUCCAGACUCCUACGGGAGGCAGCAGUAGGGAAUCUUCCGCAAUGGGCGAAAGCCUGACGGAGCAACGCCGCGUGAGUGAUGAAGGUCUUCGGAUCGUAAAACUCUGUUAUUAGGGAAGAACAUAUGUGUAAGUAACUGUGCACAUCUUGACGGUACCUAAUCAGAAAGCCACGGCUAACUACG